AACGAACGCUGGCGGCAGGCUUAACACAUGCAAGUCGAACGCCCCGCAAGGGGAGUGGCAGACGGGUGAGUAACACGUGGGAAUCUACCCAUCCCUACGGAACAACUCCGGGAAACUGGAGCUAAUACCGUAUACGCCCUUUUGGGGAAAGAUUUAUCGGGGAUGGAUGAGCCCGCGUCGGUUUAGCUAGUUGGUGGGGUAAAGGCCUACCAAGGCGAGGAUCCGUAGCUGGGCUGAGAGGAUGAUCAGCCACACUGGGACUGAGACACGGCCCAGACUCCUACGGGAGGCAGCAGUGGGGAAUAUUGGACAAUGGGCGCAAGCCUGAUCCAGCCAUGCCGCGUGAGUGAUGAAGGCCUUAGGGUUGUAAAGCUCUUUCGCCAGGGACGAUAAUGACGGUACCUGGAUAGGAAGCCCCGGCUAACUUCGUGCCAGCCGCCGCCGUAAGAC
rnacentral:rRNA from 1 species